AUACGGAGGGUGCAAGCGUUGUCCGGAAUUAUUGGGUGUAAAGGGUGUGCAGGCGGGGCGGUAAGUCAGGGGUGAAAGUCUACGGCUCAACCGUAGGAUGGCCUUUGAUACUGUCGUCCUUGAGUCCCGGAGAGGCCAUUAGAAUUCGUGGUGUAGCGGUGAAAUGCGUAGAUAUCACGAGGAAUACCGGAAGCGUAGGCGGAUGGCUGGACGGCGACUGACGCUCAGGCACGAAAGCGUGGGGAGCGAACAGGAUUAGAUACCCUGGUAGUCCACGCUGUAAACGAUGGAUGGUCUGUGUGCGACUCCGUUAGCGGGUUGAGUGCCCAAGUUAACGCGAUAAGCAUCCCACCUGGGGAGUACGCUCGCAAGAGUGAA
rnacentral:rRNA from 1 species